rnacentral:rRNA from 2 species
UGCGUAGGUGGCGCGUUAAGUCCGUUGUGAAAUCCCUGGGCUCAACCCAGGAACUGCUUCGGAUACUGGCGCGCUUGAGGCCGGUAGGGGUCACUGGAACUGACGGUGGAGCGGUGAAAUGCGUAGAUAUCGUCAGGAACGCCGAUGGUGAAGACAGGUGACUGGGCCGGAACUGACACUGAGGCACGAAAGCGUGGGGAGCGAACGGGAUUAGAUACCCCGGUAGUCCACGCCCUAAACGAUGCAGACUAGACUGCAGCGGGUUACACCCCGUUGCGGUCGGAGCGAAAUUGUUAAGUCUGCCACCUGGGAAGUACGGUCGCAAGGCUAAA